CCUACGGUGUGCUGCAGUGGGGAAUAUUGGACAAUGGGCGAAAGCCUGAUCCAGCCAUGCCGCGUGUGUGAAGAAGGCCUUCGGGUUGUAAAGCACUUUCAGUGGGGAAGAAAGCCUUGGGGCUAAUACCCUCGAGGAAGGACAUCACCCACAGAAGAAGCACCGGCUAACUCCGUGCCAGCAGCCGCGGUAAUACGGAGGGUGCGAGCGUUAAUCGGAAUUACUGGGCGUAAAGCGCGCGUAGGCGGUCUGAUAAGCCGGUUGUGAAAGCCCCGGGCUCAACCUGGGAACGGCAUCCGGAACUGUCAGGCUAGAGUGCAGGAGAGGAAGGUAGAAUUCCCGGUGUAGCAGUGAAAUGCGUAGAGAUCGGGAGGAAUACCAGUGGCGAAGGCGGCCUUCUGGACUGACACUGACGCUGAGGUGCGAAAGCGUGGGUAGCAAACAGGAUUAGAUACCCGAGUAGUC
rnacentral:rRNA from 1 species